rnacentral:lncRNA from 1 species
AUAGUAAGGUAAACAUAAAUAAACAGAAUUAACACCUUUAUGUUACUGCUUCGUAAACGAUGAUGUCCUACUGAUUUUAUGGUCAUCAUACUGAUACUUUAUAUAUUCCUUAGUUUUAAGAAGACACCUUUAACCAAUUAAUUGUAUGGUGUGUUAUAACUUUGGAUAUUGAUAAGGGUAAAUACAGAAAAGCGCUUUGAACGCAUCACAAUCAUUAAGUGAUAUUGUCAAUGUUAUAUAAAUACAUUAAUCCUAAAAGUUUUCAUUCGGAUUUUUUUUUAUAAUUUCAUUUUACAUUUAGCAGACACGUACAAAUUGAUUCGAAAGACUGUGUCAUGACUAAACAAUUGCGGAAAUUAUAGUCAGCUAUAAAAGGCCCC